AGCGGUAGGAGAGUAUUGUACUCUGCGAUGAAGCGGAAGGCGUGAGCCACCGUGGAGCGUGUACAAGUAAGAAUGUUGGCACAAGUAACCGCAAGACAGGUGAAAUCCCUGUCCGCCGAAAGACUAAGGUUUCCGCUGCAACGACAAUCGACAGCGGGUUAGUCGGGCCUAAGGAGAUGGCGAUAGCCGCAUCCGAUGGACACAUGGUUAAUAUUCCAUGACUUUAUUGCAAGCGAUGGAGGGACGGAGAACAUAAUUCCCCACGCAUUAUUGGAUUUGACGCUCGUACUGGUAGAGAGGAUAUUUAGGAAAAUCCGGAUAUCACAUACUCUCGAAAGAGCGACGACUGGAGCCCUCGGGUUCCAGAAGGGGGAAGAAUAGUCUUCCAAGAAAAUCUUCUAGCAUUCAAUUGCAAUGAAUCCGUACCGUAAACCGACACAGGUAGUCAGGUCGAGUAGACCAAGGCGAACGAGUGAGUGAUCCUCAAGGAACUCGGCAAAAAAGCAGCCGUAACUUUGGAAUAAGGCUUGCCCAUGUUUAACUACAUGGGCCGCAGCGAAAGUAUCUCUGGCGACUGUUUAUCAAAAACACAGCUCCCUGCGAAAUCGUAAGAUGAUGUAUAGGGGGUGACACCUGACCAAUGCCAGAAGGUUAAAUAUCGGUGGUGUACAACAUCCAGCGCGUGAUCAAUUGAUCGUGCAUUGAAUGUUGUAUGCUGGCUGAUAUAAGCCCUGGUGAAUGUCGGCCGUAACUAUAACGGUCCUAAGGUAGCGAAAUACCUUGUCGGGUAAAUUCCGACGCGCACGAAUGGUGUAACGACUGGAGAACUGUCUCGAGGAUUAGCUCGGUGAAAAUACAAUACCGGUGAAGAUGCCGGUUACCUGCAGUUAGACGAAAAGACCCCGGGAGCUUUACUAUAGCUUCACAUUGGGCAUAUUGGAAUUGUGCGUAGCAUAGGUGGGAGAGGUUAUGCGUAUGGUCUUGGCUAUACGAUACUCGUCAGUGAAAUACCACUCUCAAUUUUGAUAUGUCCUAACCUGGACGAAAAAACGUUCAGAGACAGUGUGUGGUGGGUAGUUUGUUUGGGGCGAAUCCCUCCUAAAUUGUAACGGAGGGGCCUAUAAAGGUCAGCUAGGCGUGAAUGGAAACCAUGCCGAUAGUGUAAUGGCACAAGCUGGCUUGACUGCAAGACGUACAUGUCGAGCAGGUGCGAAAGCAGAGCAUAGUGAACCGACCUAACGCUUUAGAUGCGUGGGAAGAUCAACGGAUAAAAGCUACCCCGGGGAUAACAGGCUAGUAUCGCCCGAGAGUUCAUAUCGACGGCGGUGUUCGGCACCUCGAUGUCGGCUCAUCUUAUCCUGGGGCUGGAGAAGGUCCCAAGGGUUUGGCUGUUCGCCAAUUAAAAAGUCACGCGAGCUGGGUU
rnacentral:rRNA from 1 species